rnacentral:lncRNA from 1 species
CGCUUUGGUCCCACUUGGCCUAGGAGAUGUGGGUCUGCAAGGCCUCCCUCCUGAGCAUGGCAACAGGUAGAAUUCAGGUCUGUUUCCGUGCUCACCUUUUCCAUUUCUUUUCCCCUCUCUUGGGCACCAUGCGGUGGACCGACUCUUCGGCAGAUGACGACAACAGCAUUCGGAUCGGGCAUAGAGAGGCAGGCAGUCUUGCCAGGGACUUGGAGGCCACAAUCCUUGAAUUCCUGGAACCGGUGAAUGUGACGAUGUGCUGUGAGUAAGACAAAAACGGGCACCGUACAAGUGGGAAAGCUAUCCAGUGCACAAGGGACCCUUUGUUUUAUUUAAAAGGCCUAGAAGAUCCCUAGAACGUGGUAACAAUGCCCUCUUGUCAAACUAUAGAUCAGUUUCGGUACUCAUUUUUUCCAUUUCUUUUUUUUACUUCCUGGAAACGCUCAUCCUGGAUGCCACACAGAUGACUACGACAGCAUGCAGGUAUAUUAUUGUUGUUGUUAUUGUUAUUGUUAUUAAUACCACUAGUACUCCACAACAGUCUAUGGCUGCUUGGCUUUGGAGGUGGGUUGUAAGACUCUGGAAGUUUUUGGUGUUUGAAUCAAGCUCACAACAACAAGACGCUGGAGGCAAAUGAUUUAUUCCAUCUUUCCACAAUCACUGAAAAACAGUUCUAAAGAUUUCCCGGGUUUGGGAGAGCAGUAUAGUCAUGAUGGUGGAAGUUCUUGGGGUUGAAAUCAAGCUCACAACAACAAUACGCUGGUGGCAAACGAUGUAUUCCAUCUUUCCAAAAUCACUGAAUAACAGUUCUAAAGAUUUCCUGGGUUUGGGGGAGCAGUAUAGUCAUGACAGUGGAAGUUCUUGGAGUUGAAAUCAAGCUCACAACAACAAUAUGCUGAGAGCAAAUGAUUUAUUCCAUCUUUCCAAAGUCACUGAAUAACAGUUCUAAAGAUGUCCUGGGUUUGGGGGAGCAGUAUAGUCAUGACGGUGGAAGUUCUUGGAGUUGAAAUCAAGCUCACAACAACAAUACGCUGGAAGCAAUCGAUUUAUUCCAUCUUUCCAAAAUC